rnacentral:rRNA from 1 species
UACGUAGGGUGCAAGCGUUGUCCGGAUUUAUUGGGCGUAAAGAGCUCGUAGGCGGUUUGUCGCGUCUGCUGUGAAAACCCGAGGCUCAACCUCGGGCCUGCAGUGGGUACGGGCAGACUAGAGUGCGGUAGGGGAGAUUGGAAUUCCUGGUGUAGCGGUGGAAUGCGCAGAUAUCAGGAGGAACACCAAUGGCGAAGGCAGAUCUCUGGGCCGUAACUGACGCUGAGGAGCGAAAGCAUGGGGAGCGAACAGG